CCGAGUUUACAACUCCCAAACCCUGUGAACAUACCACUACGUUGCCUCGGCGGGAUCGAGGCCCGCUCCCGGUAAAGAGCCGGACAGGCCCGCCGGAGGUACCCUAAACUCUUGUUUACCAGUGCACUUCUGAGUAAUUACUUAAAUAAUCA
rnacentral:misc_RNA from 1 species